GCAACAACGACAAGCAACAACAGACAUUUCUAUUCAUAGGAAAUGUUCCUUAGAAGAGUCGUGCAAGAUGUAAAAUCUUCUUCAUCAGAGAUGUGUCCACAUUGUGUUCAGCUUGUACAGAGUGCCCUUACCCGUUCGCGUUUCCCGUUAUUGCGCAAUGACAAUUGUGCAAAGGGAGGAGUUUUAAGUGACCAAAUGUGCAAUAGUCUACAAAAUAUAUUACUAAUACUAAUAUUGAUUGGACCAACAGGAUGUGAGUGUCUCAACAAUUGCACAAGGCAGAAAAUUGUAAAUUUGCUGAUCAAGAAUUUAAUGACUUAAUUGCCUGAGGUAAAAAAAAAAAAAAAAAAAAAAAAACUGUUCGAAUGCCUGCUCUUUUUGACUUUCAUUGAUCUGUAGCUCUUUCCCAACGGAAGGAGCUGGAAGAGCUGGUGGCCAGGAUUUGGAGGAUCCAAAAGGAUCCCGCCUGCUCUGGACCUCGUUCGUGUUGCGCACUGUCAUGGAGGUACACAGGACUGAUUGGAUGACCGCUGUGUAGAACUGUCUCAGCAGCUCAUAUGACAGGCCAUGUUUCCUUAGAAGCCGGAAGAAGAACAUCCCAGGUCGUCUUAUAUUUGUGUGUAAAAAACAAAAGGCAAAAAAAAGUGACAACUGUGUACACUGAGGUAUAAAAGCCCAAAUCACAAGGUCAAAAAUAUAGUUGGCUAUUAUUUUGGAAGUACUGUAUAUAUUUUGCAAGUGAAAUAGUCUUGGAUUUAUUUCCAUGUGUGCAUGCUCAAGAAUUAUGGAACAGGAAUUUUGGUUUGAAGUAAUGAUUUGCUGCACAUCAGUUUAAAUUUAGAUUGAGUUUCUCGAAUGCAAUGACGAACUUUAUUUGAAAGUACACAAAGCUCUAUUUUGCCGUUUGACACUUUAGUGCCAAAUGUGAGUAAAGAAAGCCUACAACACUUUUUUUUGCCAUAACUGCUGCUUUGGGGGGAAUUUCUUACGUUGGUAAAGUUACUUAAUGGUAAUUUUAGGCAGAAUUCUGCAAAUAUUUUAGAGGCUGUUUUUAAGGAUACACUAAAAUCUGCCCCUUACACACCUCUCUCCAAAAAAUGUUAAGACAAUCCUUUGCAUGAUUUAGGUACAAGAGGAAUCACCCAGUUUAAGAAACUGAAUUACUGGGAUCAUUACCUGCCAAAAUAAACUAAUCUCGAUUAGAAACAGUGUGUGUGGUGCUCUCCUUUUCAAAAAGAGCUUCCGUGUCAGAAGGAAGUGUUCGCCUCCCAUAGUGGGGUGCACAGCGUGUUUUCAUUAGCGAAUGUCCGGGUGACGUCAGACAGCAGAUGCACCCAAUAUGGGGACCACUUGGAUGUCGUAGAAUGACCCUGCUGCAACUUUGCGCAUGGAUGAUGCACUCUCCGCUUACUUUGUUUUGGUAUAGAUAUUGAAGUUAUCUAUUUUUCCAUUACAAUAUCUAUUUUAGAAUGUUCAUCAGGAUGACACUUGACCUUUAAUGGUAGUUGUAGGCAGAUUUCUGCAAGCUAUUUAAUUUGCUGUUUUUAAGGAUACACUAAAAUUUGCCCCCUUACACACCUCCCUCCAAAAAUGACAAUCCUUUGCAUUUUUUUUUUUUUGGUAGAAGGGACUUACCCAGUUUAAUCAACUGAAUAACUGGGAUCAUUAGCUGCCAAGAUCUGAAAAUAUCUAGAUUAGAAGCUACACGCUCCAGAUCAAUGUCAGCUCCUUCCAGCAGUACAAGUGCUGCAUUACUAAACGCAAGCCAGAUAAAACUAGAUUUAAAAGGUAAUCUGUAUUGUGUUUUUGGCUUUACUAUACUUUCCAAAAUAACUGAGUAGUUUUAAGUCGGACCACAUCAAAAAAAGAA